rnacentral:rRNA from 1 species
GUGGGGAAUAUUGCACAAUGGGCGCAAGCCUGAUGCAGCGACGCCGCGUGGGGGAUGACGGCCUUCGGGUUGUAAACCUCUUUCAGCACAGACGAAGCGCAAGUGACGGUAUGUGCAGAAGAAGGACCGGCCAACUACGUGCCAGCAGCCGCGGUAAUACGUAGGGUCCGAGCGUUGUCCGGAAUUACUGGGCGUAAAGAGCUCGUAGGUGGUUUGUCGCGUUGUCCGUGAAAUCUCACAACUCAAUUGUGAGCGUGCGGGCGAUACGGGCAGACUGGAGUACUGCAGGGGAGACUGGAAUUCCUGGUGUAGCGGUGGAAUGCGCAGAUAUCAGGAGGAACACCGGUGGCGAAGGCGGGUCUCUGGGCAGUAACUGACGCUGAGGAGCGAAAGCGUGGGGAGCGAACAGGAUUAGAUACCCGAGUAGUCC